rnacentral:rRNA from 1 species
GACGUAGGGAGCGAGCGUUGUCCGGAUUCAUUGGGCGUAAAGAGCGCGCAGGCGGUUUGGUAAGUCGGAUGUGAAAACCCGGGGCUCAACCCCGGGCGUGCAUCUCGAUACUGCCCGACUAGAGGUAGGUAGGGGAGAUCGGAAUUCCUGGUGUAGCGGUGAAAUGCGCAGAUAUCAGGAGGAACACCGGUGGCGAAGGCGGAUCUCGUGGGCCUUACCUGACGCUCAGGCGCGAAAGCUAGGGGAGCGAACAGG